GCAGUGGUGGUUCAGUGGUAAAAUUCUCACCUUUCAGUGUGGGAAACCUGGGCUCAAUUCCUGGCCAGUGCA
rnacentral:tRNA from 1 species